UACGUAGGGGGCAAGCGUUGUCCGGAAUUAUUGGGCGUAAAGCGCGCGCAGGCGGUUAUGUAAGUCUGGUGUUUAAUCCCGGGGCUCAACCCCGGAUCGCACUGGAAACUGCGUGACUUGAGUGCAGAAGAGGAGAGUGGAAUUCCACGUGUAGCGGUGAAAUGCGUAGAGAUGUGGAGGAACACCAGUGGCGAAGGCGACUCUCUGGGCUGUAACUGACGCUGAGGCGCGAAAGCGUGGGGAGCGAACAGG
rnacentral:rRNA from 1 species